UACGUAGGGUGCAAGCGUUAAUCGGAAUUACUGGGCGUAAAGCGUGCGCAGGCGGCUUUGCAAGACAGAUGUGAAAUCCCCGGGCUUAACCUGGGAACUGCAUUUGUGACUGCAUGGCUGGAGUGCGGCAGAGGGGGAUGGAAUUCCGUGUGUAGCAGUGAAAUGCGUAGAUAUGCGGAGGAACACCGAUGGCGAAGGCAAUCCCCUGGGCCUGCACUGACGCUCAUGCACGAAGCGUGGGGAGCAACAGG
rnacentral:rRNA from 1 species